ACUUGAAUUGAAGAGUUUGAUCAUGGCUCAGAUUGAACGCUGGCGGCAGGCUUAACACAUGCAAGUCGAACGGUAGCAGGAGAAAGCUUGCUUUCUUGCUGACGAGUGGCGGACGGGUGAGUAAUGCUUGGGAAUCUGGCUUAUGGAGGGGGAUAACUACGGGAAACUGUAGCUAAUACCGCGUAGAAUCGGAAGAUGAAAGUGCGGGACCGCAAGGCCGCAUGCCAUGAGAUGAGCCCAAGUGGGAUUAGGUAGUUGGUGGGGUAAAGGCCUACCAAGCCUGCGAUCUCUAGCUGGUCUGAGAGGAUGACCAGCCACACUGGAACUGAGACACGGUCCAGACUCCUACGGGAGGCAGCAGUGGGGAAUAUUGCGCAAUGGGGGCAACCCUGACGCAGCCAUGC
rnacentral:rRNA from 1 species